rnacentral:rRNA from 1 species
CCUACGGGAGGCAGCAGUGGGGAAUAUUGCACAAUGGGCGCAAGCCUGAUGCAGCGACGCCGCGUGGGGGAUGACGGCCUUCGGGUUGUAAACUCCUUUCGUUAGGGACGAAGCCGCACCUGUUUUGGGUGUGGUGACGGUACCUUUGUUAAGAAGCACCGGCUAACUACGUGCCAGCAGCCGCGGUAAU